AUGAAAACAAAAAAAAAAUGUUGUAGAGAAUCAAUCACCACCGUUGAAGGCAUCAGCAUCAAUAGCAUGAAUGAUCAAUACUAUACUCUAAUUACUUCCAUACAAAAUGCAUACAUCAAAAGCAGUUCAGUAAAGGAAGUGGGACAUGCAUUUCCUUUCUUUUCUCUUUAUAUCAUAAUUAUUAUUAUUGUACUAUUUUCACUUCUCAUUUUCUCUGUAGUAAUUUGA